rnacentral:rRNA from 1 species
GGUUAAGCGACUAAGCGUACACGGUGGAUGCCCUGGCAGUCAGAGGCGAUGAAGGACGUGCUAAUCUGCGAUAAGCGUCGGUAAGGUGAUAUGAACCGUUAUAACCGGCGAUUUCCGAAUGGGGAAACCCAGUGUGUUUCGACACACUAUCAUUAACUGAAUCCAUAGGUUAAUGAGGCGAACCGGGGGAACUGAAACAUCUAAGUACCCCGAGGAAAAGAAAUCAACCGAGAUUCCCCCAGUAGCGGCGAGCGAACGGGGAGCAGCCCAGAGCCUGAAUCAGUGUGUGUGUUAGUGGAAGCGUCUGGAAAGGCGCGCGAUACAGGGUGACAGCCCCGUACACAAAAAUGCACAUGCUGUGAGCUCGAUGAGUAGGGCGGGACACGUGGUAUCCUGUCUGAAUAUGGGGGGACCAUCCUCCAAGGCUAAAUACUCCUGACUGACCGAUAGUGAACCAGUACCGUGAGGGAAAGGCGAAAAGAACCCCGGCGAGGGGAGUGAAAAAGAACCUGAAACCGUGUACGUACAAGCAGUGGGAGCACGCUUAGGCGUGUGACUGCGUACCUUUUGUAUAAUGGGUCAGCGACUUAUAUUCUGUAGCAAGGUUAACCGAAUAGGGGAGCCGAAGGGAAACCGAGUCUUAACUGGGCGUUAAGUUGCAGGGUAUAGACCCGAAACCCGGUGAUCUAGCCAUGGGCAGGUUGAAGGUUGGGUAACACUAACUGGAGGACCGAACCGACUAAUGUUGAAAAAUUAGCGGAUGACUUGUGGCUGGGGGUGAAAGGCCAAUCAAACCGGGAGAUAGCUGGUUCUCCCCGAAAGCUAUUUAGGUAGCGCCUCGUGAAUUCAUCUCCGGGGGUAGAGCACUGUUUCGGCAAGGGGGUCAUCCCGACUUACCAACCCGAUGCAAACUGCGAAUACCGGAGAAUGUUAUCACGGGAGACACACGGCGGGUGCUAACGUCCGUCGUGAAGAGGGAAACAACCCAGACCGCCAGCUAAGGUCCCAAAGUCAUGGUUAAGUGGGAAACGAUGUGGGAAGGCCCAGACAGCCAGGAUGUUGGCUUAGAAGCAGCCAUCAUUUAAAGAAAGCGUAAUAGCUCACUGGUCGAGUCGGCCUGCGCGGAAGAUGUAACGGGGCUAAACCAUGCACCGAAGCUGCGGCAGCGACGCUUAUGCGUUGUUGGGUAGGGGAGCGUUCUGUAAGCCUGCGAAGGUGUGCUGUGAGGCAUGCUGGAGGUAUCAGAAGUGCGAAUGCUGACAUAAGUAACGAUAAAGCGGGUGAAAAGCCCGCUCGCCGGAAGACCAAGGGUUCCUGUCCAACGUUAAUCGGGGCAGGGUGAGUCGACCCCUAAGGCGAGGCCGAAAGGCGUAGUCGAUGGGAAACAGGUUAAUAUUCCUGUACUUGGUGUUACUGCGAAGGGGGGACGGAGAAGGCUAUGUUGGCCGGGCGACGGUUGUCCCGGUUUAAGCGUGUAGGCUGGUUUUCCAGGCAAAUCCGGAAAAUCAAGGCUGAGGCGUGAUGACGAGGCACUACGGUGCUGAAGCAACAAAUGCCCUGCUUCCAGGAAAAGCCUCUAAGCAUCAGGUAACAUCAAAUCGUACCCCAAACCGACACAGGUGGUCAGGUAGAGAAUACCAAGGCGCUUGAGAGAACUCGGGUGAAGGAACUAGGCAAAAUGGUGCCGUAACUUCGGGAGAAGGCACGCUGAUAUGUAGGUGAGGUCCCUCGCGGAUGGAGCUGAAAUCAGUCGAAGAUACCAGCUGGCUGCAACUGUUUAUUAAAAACACAGCACUGUGCAAACACGAAAGUGGACGUAUACGGUGUGACGCCUGCCCGGUGCCGGAAGGUUAAUUGAUGGGGUUAGCGCAAGCGAAGCUCUUGAUCGAAGCCCCGGUAAACGGCGGCCGUAACUAUAACGGUCCUAAGGUAGCGAAAUUCCUUGUCGGGUAAGUUCCGACCUGCACGAAUGGCGUAAUGAUGGCCAGGCUGUCUCCACCCGAGACUCAGUGAAAUUGAACUCGCUGUGAAGAUGCAGUGUACCCGCGGCAAGACGGAAAGACCCCGUGAACCUUUACUAUAGCUUGACACUGAACAUUGAGCCUUGAUGUGUAGGAUAGGUGGGAGGCUUUGAAGUGUGGACGCCAGUCUGCAUGGAGCCGACCUUGAAAUACCACCCUUUAAUGUUUGAUGUUCUAACGUUGACCCGUAAUCCGGGUUGCGGACAGUGUCUGGUGGGUAGUUUGACUGGGGCGGUCUCCUCCUAAAGAGUAACGGAGGAGCACGAAGGUUGGCUAAUCCUGGUCGGACAUCAGGAGGUUAGUGCAAUGGCAUAAGCCAGCUUGACUGCGAGCGUGACGGCGCGAGCAGGUGCGAAAGCAGGUCAUAGUGAUCCGGUGGUUCUGAAUGGAAGGGCCAUCGCUCAACGGAUAAAAGGUACUCCGGGGAUAACAGGCUGAUACCGCCCAAGAGUUCAUAUCGACGGCGGUGUUUGGCACCUCGAUGUCGGCUCAUCACAUCCUGGGGCUGAAGUAGGUCCCAAGGGUAUGGCUGUUCGCCAUUUAAAGUGGUACGCGAGCUGGGUUUAGAACGUCGUGAGACAGUUCGGUCCCUAUCUGCCGUGGGCGCUGGAGAACUGAGGGGGCUGCUCCUAGUACGAGAGGACCGGAGUGGACGCAUCACUGGUGUUCGGGUUGUCAUGCCAAUGGCACUGCCCGGUAGCUAAAUGCGGAAGAGAUAAGUGCUGAAAGCAUCUAAGCACGAAACUUGCCCCGAGAUGAGUUCUCCCUGACCCUUUAAGGGUCCUGAAGGAACGUUGAAGACGACGACGUUGAUAGGCCGGGUGUGUAAGCGCAGCGAUGCGUUGAGCUAACCGGUACUAAUGAACCGUGAGGCUUAACCUU